AGAGUUUGAUCCUGGCUCAGGACGAACGCUGGCGGCGUGCUUAACACAUGCAAGUCGAGCGAGGCCUUUCGGGGCCUAGCGGCGAACGGGUGAGUAACACGUGAGCAACCUGCCCUUGGCUCUGGGAUAGCCUCCGGAAACGGGGAUUAAUACCGGACAGGACUUCCUCCCGCAUGGGAGGGGGUGGAAAGUUUUUCGGCCAGGGAGGGGCUCGCGGCCUAUCAGCUUGUUGGGGGGGUAACGGCCCACCAAGGCGACGACGGGUAGCCGGCCUGAGAGGGCGACCGGCCACACUGGGACUGAGACACGGCCCAGACUCCUACGGGAGGCAGCAGUGGGGAAUAUUGCGCAAUGGGCGGAAGCCUGACGCAGCGACGCCGCGUGCGGGAUGAAGGCCUUCGGGUUGUAAACCGCUUUCACCAGGGACGAAGCGAGAGUGACGGUACCUGGGGAAGAAGCGCCGGCUAACUACGUGCCAGCAGCCGCGGUAAUACGUAGGGCGCGAGCGUUGUCCGGAAUUAUUGGGCGUAAAGAGCUCGUAGGCGGCCUGUCGCGUCCGCUGUGAAAUCCCGGGGCUCAACCCCGGGCGUGCAGUGGAUACGGGCUGGCUGGAGGCAGGCAGGGGAGAACGGAAUUCCCGGUGUAGCGGUGAAAUGCGCAGAUAUCGGGAGGAACACCGGUGGCGAAGGCGGUUC
rnacentral:rRNA from 1 species